AGAGAAAGAGGGAGGAAGGUAGAACACAUGCAAGUCGAACGAACUCUUCGGAGUUAGUGGCGGACGGGUGAGUAACACAUGGGAACGUGCCUUUUGGUUCGGAAUAACUCAGGGAAACUUGUGCUAAUACCGAAUGUGCCCUUCGGGGGGAAAGAUUUAUCGCCAUUAGAGCGGCCCGCGCCUGUUUAGCUAGUUGGUGAGGUAACGGCUCACCAAGGCGACGAUCAGUAGCUGGUCUGAGAGGAUGACCAGCCACACUGGGACUGAGACACGGCCCAGACUCCUACGGGAGGCAGCAGUGGGGAAUCUUGCGCAAUGGGCGAAAGCCUGACGCAGCCAUGCCGCGUGAAUGAUGAAGGUCUUAGGAUUGUAAAAUUCUUUCACCGGGGACGAUAAUGACGGUACCCGGAGAAGAAGCCCCGGCUAACUUCGUG
rnacentral:rRNA from 1 species